GACGAACGCUGGCGGCGUGCCUAAUACAUGCAAGUCGAACGCAGGGGGGACGGGUGAGUAACACGUGGGUAACCUCCCAUCAGAGGGGAUAACACUUGGAAACAGGUGCUAAACCGGUACUGGUGGAUGGACCCGCGGUGCAUUAGCUAGUUGGUGGGGGAACGGCGCACCAAGGCCACGAUGCAUAGCCGACCUGAGAGGGUGACCGGCCACACUGGGACUGAGACACGGCCCAGACUCCGACGGGAGGCAGCAGUAGGGAAUAUUCGGCAAUGGGCGAAAGUCUGACCGAGCAAUGCCGCGUGAGUGAAGAAGGUUUUCGGAUCGUAAAGCUCUGUUGUUAGGGAGGCGUUAUUUAACCAGAAAGCCACGGCUAACUACGUGCCAGCCGCCGCGGUAAUUC
rnacentral:rRNA from 1 species